rnacentral:rRNA from 1 species
UCCUAUCAGAUUGUUGGUGAGGUAAAAGCUCACCAAGUCUAUGACGGGUAGCUGGCCUGAGAGGGUGGUCAGCCAGACUGGGACUGCGAUACGGCCCAGACUCCUACGGGAGGCAGCAACUAGGAAUUAUGCACAAUGGACGAAAGUCUGAUGCUGCGACGUCGCGUGGAGGAUGAAGGUCUUAGGAUCGUAAACUCCUUUUAUUGGGGAACAAAUUUUGAGUGUACCCAAUGAAUAAGUGCCUGCAAACCACGUGCCAGAAGCAUCGGUAAUACGUGGGACACAAGCGCUAUCCGGAUUUACUGGGCGUAAAGAGAUGCGUAGGCGUCUUCUUAAGUUAUUUGUUAAAUCUCUCGAUUCAAUCGAGAACAUGCAAGUAAUACUGGGUUGAUUGAGUUAGGUAGAGAAGAGGGGAAUUCCUGGUGGAGUGGUUAAAUACGUUGAUAUCAGGAGGAACACCAAUGGCGAAAGCACCUCUUUGGACCUAUACUGACGCUAAAGGCUCGAAAGCGUGGGGGAGCAAAACGGAUUAGAUACC